GAUGAAGAACGCAGCGAAAUGCGAUAAGUAAUGUGAAUUGCAGAAUUCAGUGAAUCAUCGAAUCUUUGAACGCACAUUGCGCCCGCCAGUAUUCUGGCGGGCAUGCCUGUCCGAGCGUCAUUUCAACCCUCGAACCCCUCCGGGGGGUCGGCGUUGGGGAUCGGCCCUGCCUCUUGGCGGUGGCCGUCUCCGAAAUACAGUGGCGGUCUCGCCGCAGCCUCUCCUGCGCAGUAGUUUGCACACUCGCAUCGGGAGCGCGGCGCGUCCACAGCCGUUAAACACCCAACUUCUGAAAUGUUGACCUCGGAUCAGGUAGGAAUACCCGCUGAACUUAAGCAUAUCAAUAAGAGGAGGA
rnacentral:misc_RNA from 1 species